CAUUGGAGAGGUCAGUGAGGAGAAGGCCACACUGCUGUUUAACCAGGAACAGCCUGGGCUCAGGCCCUUCUUUGCACAGGAAGAUAAACAAGGAGAGGGCAGGCCUACUUGGGAAGUUCAAGUUAAAUCCUGGCAGGCCUCUGGUUGCCCAAGCAGCCCAACAUAUGGGCAAAAUGCUUCUUUCCCCGGCACAGCGCUCGCCUCCCCGGAGAGGUUCGAGCAUCCUGUGACCUCCUUCUGCCCUUAGUCUUGAAACUGAACGGGUUUGGGCAGCCAGGCAGGCCUCUGCAGCUUUCUCUGCCCCAGCCCCUAGGACCUCUGUCUGCAUCCCUGGCUUGCUGCUAUGGCUGCAGAGGAGGAAGAGUGAAACCGCGCCAGUGGCUGGCGCAGGCCAGGCCGAGGCCCCUCCUCGGCCCCCUCUCGGGCGGCCCUCCCUCCCCCUCCCGGGGCGUUUGUAUUGCAGACACCUGCAGCACGGGCGGCCGCCGCGAUUCCUGACACAAGGCGCUGGUACCUGAGCCCUUGACUGGUAAUGCACCAUAAACGGCUCCUUUCAGGCCCUUUCAGAGCGGGAGCGCGGAGGUCACCGUGUCUACAAACCCCUCUGUGUCUGCCACGUCUCCUGGGCCCUGGGCGCCCGGGCCUCCAGCCGCAGAGCACGCCUGCCCGUGGGAAUCCCAACACUUGUGCUCCGCGAGGCCGGCUGGGCGGGGGCGGGGGAAUGGGACCACCCGGCCCUCCCCCAGCCUGGCCUCCCCCGCCCUCCCCGCCGCUGGUUCACAGAGCUCAGCGAGUGGAACGAAUUUGGUGCGCAGUCCUCAGACGCUCGCGGAAAUCAAAUGAUAAGGCGAGAUGGAUUCUCACUCUGUCGCCCAGGCUGGAGUGCAGUGGCUUGCUCUCAGCUCACUGAAACAUCCACCUCCCAGGUUCAAGUGAUUCUCCUGCUUCAGCCUUCCUAGUAGCUGGGAUUACAAGCAUCCGCUACCAUGCCCAGCUAAUUUUUGUAUUUUUAGUGAAACAGGAUUUCACUCUGCUGGCCAGACUGGUCUUGACCUCCUGACCUCAAGGCCUGCCUUGGCCUCCCACAGUGCUGGGAUUACAGGCGUGAGCCACCGUACCCAGCUCAUAACCACAGCUUCUGAUAGUCCCGACAUUGCUACAGCAUCUAAGCAGCACGACAGAUAUUAUUAAUCACCAAUCAAGAAGUACUUAUGGGGCACGAGGAGCUGCUGUCAGGAUCCAGCCGGAAGUAGUUGAGGCACUGGACAGAAAGAACUGUCAGCUAGCUGGUUAUUAAACUCUUCUCCCUUGCUGGUUUAUAAGGAUAUCUCUGAUUUUCCUUGCCAAGGUAGGUCUUUAUUUUAAAAACCUUUUUGCAUGGAACAAAAGAUGAAACUCCCAUAGCACAUAGUCCUGAAAGGGAACCAGACCUGCCAUAAUCUAUUACUAUGCUUCAUGGUUUUUGUCCAUAUUUUGUUUUCCUCUUUCCUACUCUCCUUGGCAUGUAUAUUACUACAUUUAUUCAGGUGAGUGUAAGCCAAGUAACUAGAGCAAUACUCUCUUUAGCCAAAGGGGGUAGGAAGCCCAACUCCUAUAAUAAAUGUUUUUAAUCAUCCAACAUUAAGAAUUUGAAAGGAUUUUAUAAUGUGUCCAACUCUUCAACUUACAGAUGAGAAACAGAGGCUCAAAGGGUUAGUAAUCUCACCACAGUGCUGAAGAUGAAAUGUUACAUGCCUGUGACGUCAGCACCUAUAUAUCAAACACAUCAGAAGUUAGAGUUGAAAUUCAUUUUGGGUUAUUAAAAAAAAAAGCCCUAAAUUAUCCUUCGGCAAGAAAAGACUUAUCUUUUCGCCAGUUUAUAAUACUGAACAAUACUGCAUUUCCAGUGGUGCAUUUAGUUGAUUGCUUACAUUUUGCUAAAAGGUUUUUAAACUAUUUAAUAUAUUAAAAGUUUUUUUAUUUCCUUUUAUUACUAUUAUUAUUCUUAUACAAGGGCUCCCCUAGGAGGUAUCUUUUAUUAAAUAUAUGCUUUAUAAGACUACAGGGGUUUCUUUUUACUGUGGAAAUAUAUCUCUGAAGUUCUUAUGGAAUAUACCUCAGUUAACACAUGAUUUUUUGGGUAUUUGACACUUUGGGGACAAAACAAAAUGUAUUUAUGUGAUAAUUAUUAUUGCCCAGUGGCCUUCAGAGUUAUCAUGCAGAAUGUCAGGUGAUAAAUGAAGAAUGAAGUAUAGAAUUUUUUAAAUCACCAUUUUGUAAAAAUCAUCAGAGAAUUCUAAAACUCCUGGGCGAAAUAUUUCUGGGGAACAGAAUAGUCAUAUCUUCCCAAAAUCCAACCCCAAAGUUUAUUAAUUACAAUGAAGAAAAUGCCACCAUCUUCACCAAGUAGGCUAAGUUAGCAUCACCAACAGUGGGACAAGCGACAUCCUGUCUUCCUGAUAUGAUGCCCUGGAAAGGACACAACAUCACCAGGAAAGUUUUCCUGCUGCAAGUGCUCCAUCUGUGUCUCAUGGAGAAACAAUCACAUAAGUGAAAAUUGAGGGAAAGUAUUCAAAACAAGUACUCUCCCCAACUAAAUACAAUGUGUGACCCUUUAUUAAAUUCUAGAUUCCAGAAAAAAAAAAAAAGAGCUAUAAAAGACGUUGUUCGUAUAUGGUAGGAAAUUUGAGUAUUAACUAUGUAUUAGAUAAGGGUGCUCAAUUUCCUGAGUAGGAAAACUGUCUUGUGGUUUUGUAGGAAAACAUCUUUGGUUUUAGGAGACACGCUGAGACAUUUAGCAGGAAAGCAUCAUGAUGUCUACAACCUCAAAUAGUUUAGCAAGAGCCAUAUAAAGUGUUAGUGUGUGACUGUGAGUUUGUGUGUGUGUGUGUGUCUCAGUAUUGGGGAGAGAGAUGGGGAAGAGCACGUGAAUCUAGAAGGGAACUUCAACUCUAUGAGAUUUUAUCUAAUGCCCCAUAAUCCCAGUUUAAUUGUGAGGAAAAACAUCAAACAAUCCCAGACUGAGAGACAUUCUACAAGGAACCCGCCCAGUACUCCCCAAAACUGUCAAGGUCAUAAAAAACAAGGAAAGAUGGAGACAGUUUUGACAUAUGUACCAUGAUUAUGUCAGAAGUUAACCAGGGGACCUAGGUGAGGGGUUUUGAGAACUCUGUACUAUCUUUAUAACUUAUCUAUAAAUCAUUUUAGAAUGAUUCCAAAAUAAAAAAAGCUUAUUUAAAAAACUAUCUUCUCUAUGGCUACCCCUGUACCAUUAAGCACUACGGGAGAAAAUCCCCCACCUGGGGAGAGAGUUGUCCUUAUAAACUCCAAGUUACUCAUCUCACUGGGAUUUCAGUGAACCACAGUGAGUAUUCUCUUUCCCCAGCCAGCUAUCUUCCCAUUUCUCUGCAAUGGGUGUUUUAAACCUUUUCUAAUCUCAGGAAUGUAAACUACUACAACCACUAUGGAAAACAGUGUGGAGAUUCCUCAAAGAACUAAAAGCAGAACUACCAUUUGAUCCAGCAAUCCCACUACUGGGUAUCCACCCAGAGGAAAAGAAUUCAUUAUAUGAAAAAGAUACUUGCACAUGCAUGUUUAUACCAGCACAAUUCACAAUUGCAAAAAUAUGGAACCAACACAAAUGCCCAUCAAUCAACUAGUGGAUAAAGAAUUGAUGGUGUAUAUAUACAAUGGAAUACUAUUCAAUCGUAAAAAGGAACAAAAUAAUGGCAUUCACAGCAACCUGGAUAGAACUGAAGACUAUUAUUCUAAGUGAAGUAAGUCAGAAAUAGAAAACCAAAUGUCGUAUGUUCUAAUUCAUAAGUGGGAGCUCAGCUAUGAAGAUGCAGAGGCAUAAGAAUGAGACUUUGGGACUCAAGGGGGAAAGGGUGGUAGGGGGAAUGAAGGAUAAAAGACCAUACACUGGGUACAGUGUACACUGCUCAGGUGAUGAGUACACCAAAAUCUGAGAAGUCACCAUGAAAGAAAGAACUUAUUCAUGUAAGGAAACACCACCUGUUCCCCAAAAACCUAUUGAAAUUAAUUAAAAAAAAAAACACCUUUCCACUCUCCUCACACCAUGGUAUCUACUACAUCUCCCCUUCCUCUCAAUAGAUGAUUUUGCUUUUGUAAAAUCAAAACCCACAACAAAAGAAAUCCCUCAAUCUCUUGCAACAAAAUCAUCACCCUUACCUAUGCCUGUAUCUAUCUACCCUUUUUCCAUCUUGUCGCAAUGGAACAAGUGACUGCAUCUGAUAUGGUUUGGCUCUGUGUCCCCACCCAAAUCUCAUGUCAAACUGUAAUCCUCAGUGUUGGAGGUGGGGCCUGUUGGGAAGUGAUUAAAUCAAGAGGGCGAAUUUCCCCUUUGGUGCUGUUCUAGUUAGUGAUGGUGAGUUAUUGAGAGAUCUGGUUGUUUAAAAGUGCACCUCCCCUUCUCUCUCUUCUUCCUGCUCUGACCAUGUGAGACCUGCCUGCUUCCUAUUCACCUUCCGCCAUGAUUGAAAGUUUCCUGAGGCUUCCCUAGCCAUGUUUCCUGUACCGCCUGUGGAACCAUGAGCCAAUUAAACUGCUUUAUUUCAUAAAUUACCCAGUCUUUUGUAUUCAGGAUUUAUUUUUUUUGUCUUUUUUUGAGAUGGAGUCUCGCUCUGUCGCCUGGAUGGAGUUCAGUGGCAUGAUCUCAGCUCACUGCAACCUCUGCCUCCCAGAUGCAAGCAAUUCUCCUGCCUCAGGCUCCCAAGUAGCUGGGACUACAGGCAGGUGCCACCAUGCCCAGCUAAUUUUUGUAUUUUUAGUAG